UGAGCUAAAGCGCAAUAGAUAAGUCUCAAGUGUCGGCAAAUGAUGUUAGUGGGAAGGUGCUGGGGCCAGAGCACUUUGGAAGGGCGAGAUGCUUGGGAUUAGGAGUUGUUUCUAGUAGUGCUUUUAAACAAGAUAGACCUCAUUUUGGUGGUACAAGUGCUUCAAGUAGUGGAGGUUCUUAUUCGUUCCAAUAUCAAGAAAACUUUGCUCAAAUUAUGAAUUCUCACAAUCAGAUAAUGAGUGCUUUGAAGGCAUAUAUGAUAAUGAAAGAAGGAACAAUACCGGAACAAUUUAUGGGGCUCUUUGAUUCUCCUCAAUGUUUCUCCCACAGCACCAAGUGAUGCGACUAGUGGAUCCAUUUCGCCUAUGGAUACAAGGAGAUCGCGUGAUGAUAGUGAUCCUAAUGACAAUCGUUGAUUUCAUUGUAAAUUCUCUUGGAUAUUUGAUUAUAAUAAUGUAAUUGUGUGGUUGGAGUGAAUCUUGGAAUAUUGAAGGUUGUGUUUAAAUUUGAUUUUGAAGAUUGAAGAUACUAGUUAAUGUUGAAAAUUUAGAGUUUGAAGAUUCUAAUGUUGAAAAUUUAGUUUUGAAGUCUAA